rnacentral:rRNA from 1 species
AGUGAACGCUGGCGGUAGGCCUAACACAUGCAAGUCGAACGGCAGCACAGUAAGAGCUUGCUCUUACGGGUGGCGAGUGGCGGACGGGUGAGGAAUACAUCGGAAUCUACUUUUUCGUGGGGGAUAACGUAGGGAAACUUACGCUAAUACCGCAUACGACCUACGGGUGAAAGCAGGGGAUCUUCGGACCUUGCGCGAUUGAAUGAGCCGAUGUCGGAUUAGCUAGUUGGCGGGGUAAAGGCCCACCAAGGCGACGAUCCGUAGCUGGUCUGAGAGGAUGAUCAGCCACACUGGAACUGAGACACGGUCCAGACUCCUACAGGAGGCAGCAGUGGGGAAUAUUGGACAAUGGGCGCAAGCCUGAUCCAGCCAUACCGCGUGGGUGAAGAAGGCCUUCGGGUUGUAAAGCCCUUUUGUUGGGAAAGAAAAGCAGCAGGUUAAUACCCCGCUGUUCUGACGGUACCCAAAGAAUAAGCACCGGCUAGCUUCGUG